rnacentral:rRNA from 1 species
UACGGAGGGGACUAGCGUUGUUCGGAAUUACUGGGCGUAAAGCGCACGUAGGCGGAUUUGUAAGUCAGGGGUGAAAUCCCGGGGCUCAACCUCGGAACUGCCUUUGAUACUGCAAAUCUCGAGUCCGGAAGAGGUGAGUGGAAUUCCUAGUGUAGAGGUGAAAUUCGUAGAUAUUAGGAAGAACACCAGUGGCGAAGGCGGCUCACUGGUCCGGUACUGACGCUGAGGUGUGAAAGCGUGGGGAGCAAACAGG